rnacentral:rRNA from 1 species
CUACGGGAUGCAGCAGUCGAGAAUCUUCCGCAAUGGACGAAAGUCUGACGGAGCGACGCCGCGUGCGGGAUGAAGGCCUUCGGGUUGUAAACCGCUGUCAGUGGGGAGGAAAUGCAUCAGGGUUCUCCCUGGUGUUUGACCGAUCCGCAGAGGAAGCGCAGGCUAAGUUCGUGCCAGCAGCCGCGGUAACACGAACUGCGCGAACGUUAUUCGGAAUCACUGGGCUUAAAGAGUUCGUAGGCGGCCUUUCAAGUCGGGUGUGAAAUCCCUCGGCUCAACCGAGGAAUUGCGCCUGAUACUGUUGGGCUUGAGGGGGAUAGGGGUGGGCGGAACUGAUGGUGGAGCGGUGAAAUGCGUUGAUAUCAUCAGGAACACCGGUGGCGAAGGCGGCUCACUGGAUCUCUUCUGACGCUGAGGAACGAAAGCUAGGGGAGCGAACGGGAUUAGAUACCCUAGUAGUC